CAGCUCAGACAUCAAGUGAAAACAGAAACAAGAUCCAACUACCAUGCGACCUAAUUUCUUUCAUUUUUUGAUUGUUGGCGUAUUGCUGACUGGGCUCUUUUAUUUGGGCUACACCUCCAACUGGCUUAGUGAUUUCAGGUGCAAAACUCUACAAACAGAUUCUACAGACAUCAAG